rnacentral:rRNA from 1 species
UACGGAGGGUGCAAACGUUUGCUCGGAAUCAUUGGGCGUAAAGCGCACGUAGGCGGCCUGUUAAGUCGGGUGUGAAAGCCCUGGGCUCAACCGUGGAGGGUCAUUGGAAACUGGGGGACUUGAGUGCAGAAGAGGAAAGCGGAAUUCCACGUGUAGCGGUGAAAUGCGUAGAGACCCGGAGGAACACCGGUGGCGAAGGCGGCUUCCUGGUCUGCAACUGACGCUGUGGCGCGAAAGCUAGGGGAGCAAACGGG